CCUACGGGAGGCAGCAGUGGGGAAUAUUGGACAAUGGGCGAAAGCCUGGUCCAGCCAUGCCGUGUGUGUGAAGAAGGCCUUCGGGUUGUAAAGCACUUUCAGUGGGGAAGAAAGCCUUGGGGCUAAUACCCUCGAGGAAGGACAUCACCCACAGAAGAAGCACCGGCUAACUCCGUGCCAGCAGCCGCGGUAAUACGGAGGGUGCGAGCGUUAAUCGGAAUUACUGGGCGUAAAGCGCGCGUAGGCGGUCUGAUAAGCCGGUUGUGAAAGCCCCGGGCUCAACCUGGGAACGGCAUCCGGAACUGUCAGGCUAGAGUGCAGGAGAGGAAGGUAGAAUUCCCGGUGUAGCGGUGAAAUGCGUAGAGAUCGGGAGGAAUACCAGUGGCGAAGGCGGCCUUCUGGACUGACACUGACGCUGAGGUGCGAAAGCGUGGGUAGCAAACAGGAUUAGAUACCCUGGUAGUC
rnacentral:rRNA from 1 species